GCACUAGUAGCUCAGUACCUAGAGCGUCG
rnacentral:tRNA from 1 species